rnacentral:rRNA from 1 species
AUACGGAGGGUGCAAGCGUUGUUCGGAAUCAUUGGGCGUAAAGCGCGUGUAGGCGGCUAGGUAAGUCGGGUGUGAAAUCCCGGGGCCCAACCCCGGAACUGCAUUCGAAACUGCCUAGCUAGAGUCUCGGAGAGGAAGGCGGAAUUCCCGGUGUAGAGGUGAAAUUCGUAGAUAUCGGGAGGAACACCAGCGGCGAAGGCGGCCUUCUGGACGAUGACUGACGCUGAGACGCGAAAGCGUGGGGAGCAAACAGGAUUAGAAACCCGAGUAGUCC